AAAAAAAUAGUUGAUGAACUUCGUAUAACUCCAAUAAUAGGGUUUGGAGGUCUCUACCAGGAACCGAUAAUUCCUGAUUACGAAGAGAAUACAUUUUGUA
rnacentral:ncRNA from 2 species